rnacentral:snRNA from 1 species
GCGCUCAGUUUGGCAGCACAUAUACUAAAAUUAGAGCAAUACAGAGAAUGUNAGCAUGGCUUUAAGAAAGGAUAAGACACAAAUUCAUGAAGUGUUCCACAUUUUU